GAUGAAUGCUGGCGGCGUGCCUAAUACAUGCAAGUCGAGCGGUAACAGGACUUCACCGUUUCCUUGACACAUCUAGCGCAUUAUCGUAGAUGGUGAGACUUCGAGGGAACAGUGAAGUUGCUGACGAGCGGCGGACGGCUGAGUAACGCGUGGGAACGGACCCCAAACUGAGGGAUAACUACUCGAAAGAGUAGCUAAUACCGCAUGUGAUCUUCGGAUUAAAGGAUUUAUCCGGUUUGGGACUGGCCUGCGUACGAUUAGAUAGUCGGUAGGGUAAUGGCUUACCAAGUCGACGAUCGUUAGAUGGUUUGAGAAGAUGAUCAUCCAGACUGGGACUGAGACACGGCCCAG
rnacentral:rRNA from 1 species